rnacentral:lncRNA from 1 species
UAGAAUUAUGGCAAAAAAUGGACUCGGUCUGCAAUGCACCGAUGGGUUCAGCAUUAAAGAAUUGAUGGAGCAUGAUUGUCCCCACAGCAUCCAAACUCAGAAGUCCAGAUAUCCCACAGAGCCUGGCUUUACGCACCUGAGUGAUAAAGGAACGUCCGAGGGCCCAGAAUCCUUCACUGAGAGUCCAAAUACUAAUUUCUCACCAAGUCUGCGUCCGGCUGGAAAAAGCACAGAUGAAUCCCCGUCUAGUUCUGCUAAAGACACUCAAUCAUCAUAUACAGACAUGCCUCUAUGCAUAGCUGACAUCUAUACUAGUCGUGCUGUUGAGGUGGAAAACGCUGAUGUGAAGAUGUGGUCAAAUUAUACAUAGAGGACUGGUGUUGAUUUGUCACUUUUUAAAUAAACUUUCAGAAUAAAUGUGCAAAGACUUGUACUUUUAGGGACACCUUCUUUAUCCCUAAAGGGUGCUUAUUACUUUAGAGUUGUAAUCGUACUCUUAGUACUAUUAUGAACCAUUUAGGGGUAAAUACUGUACAAAGGUGUCCUUUUGUACCCUCUUUUUUUCUGAGUGUAGGUCCAGGAUGCUGUUAGUUAAUGGAGAGGAAAGAAGAGACGUCCUGCUUA